AUCCAGCUGACGAGUCGAAGAUAAGAUGAAACGACUCGCGUCUUUGAU
rnacentral:hammerhead_ribozyme from 1 species